CUCUCCUGCUUUCAGGGUUGCGACGUGAGAAGGGAAUCGGGACACUGGGAGAGAUUCAGCUUGCUGAAGGAAACGGCAUUGGAGCUUUUGAGCCGACUUCAAGUGCAUUCAACAGAGACUUGAGGACCUCACAACUCAGCAGCACCGAGGAACAAAGUGACGCGCAGCAGCCGAGCAGAGCAGGACGCUCCUCUCAUGGCUGCUCUGAACCAGCCAGCAGGGAGCCAGCAUGGGACAGGGACAGGAGCACACAGACAUCAGUUCUUACUUACUUAGCCAUGUUUCCUUCUCACUGACUUUGGAAAUAAAUGGCUCAAUG
ensembl:lncRNA